rnacentral:lncRNA from 1 species
CCAGCUUUUAUCAGUUUUUAACAAUAUUACACAAGCUCUUAUUUUGAUGCAAACUGUAUUACUUUAAAAAAAUAGUUAGUCAAAGUUAAUAUGUUAUACAUACAAUCCUAACCUAUCACAUGAGCAUAUUCAGGGUACCAGAAUCUCUAUGCAUCGACAUUAAAUCUCUAAUGAUGUGUUAUAAUUUGGACUAAAUCUAAAACUACUUUGUUUAAAGUGGAACAACUUCAAUAUCAAUUUGUUGAAAAUCCGGCUAAAUAAUUUAAAGAACGAAAAAAUAUGGGCAAUAUGAAAAUAAUGGAUUCUACUCCAACAGUAUUUCUAAUCAAAAUACUUACUAGAAUUUGAGACACGAUCUAAUUCUAACAUUAUGCAAUUCUUCUAGAGCUCGAACAAUUGAAAGACGUAAAAGAACCUGAAUUAAAUGGGAACACAUGUUUCUCCAAAAAGGAUAGGGCAAUCUGGUGUUUCGACGCCUUGGUCCAUUCAAUCAAGUAUUAGUGGCAAAGUAGGCUUGGAGCUUAAUCUGCAACAAAUCACUAGUGGUAAGCACGCUGAAAGUUGGAACUGGUGAUUUUCUGUUAGCCACGAAUAAAAGUUGUUCAUCCUACCUCUGGAAAAGCUUAUUAUGGAGAAGCAAGCAGGAGGGAUUAAGGUGGCGAGAUGGAGAUGGGCAGUCUAAUCGAAUUUUCCAAAACCGGUAUAUUCCUCGCCCAACAUGUUUUUUACCCAUUACAAGUCGCUAUGAAAUGUUUAGUGUUGACAUGAGUUGAGCAAUUAAGGGAGAAAAUCUAGGAUAUUAUGGGAGGAGUAUGCACCACAAUCCCUUAAUUACAGAUUCCUUCAAUAGAUUAGGAAUUAUAAAAGUAAAUUUUAUAUUCUAUGUAUAGCGAAG